UUACUGGAGAGCGUUUCUAU
rnacentral:snRNA from 1 species